AAAUAGAAAGAAAAAUAUUCUGAUAUUUUACAAUGCAGAUGACUUCUUGAACAACUUUAGGAAAUUUAUAUCCAUGGAGAUCUUUUAUAGCUUCCAUAAACAGUUUAUCAAGAAAUUUUGACGAGCGACCAUAAAAUAAUUUUAUUAAAUAAUUAAAUAAUUUUGCUCGAAUCUUUCCAGUUUGCCAAGAAAUUUUGAUGAAUAGCUAUAACUAUCGAACCACCCUGUAGAUGCAUUAUUCGCCAUGGAAAGGUCUACUUCUCCAAAUGAACUUUCCCUCGAACAAUAGUAUCGAACAAAGGGGACUACGAAACAGUUCUGGAAACGGGUUUUUACUUGGUUUGCAACCUUGCUCCGCUUUGAUUCUUCGAUCGCCUCCCUCUUUUAUUCGACACGUCAGAGGCUGCCUCAAUGAUUCAUCCACCUCACGCCUCUUCUACCCUCCCCUUGGAAAGGGCGAGUCGA